AACAUUUGAAAUGGUUCGUCCUUGUGAUUUACUUAUUGUAAUAGAAAAACUUAGUCCAACAUGAAACUACUUUCUACUAAGGACAAAAGACAACCCAUCACUUGUAGAUGUUUUUAUUUUAAUUUUGGGCAAAAAAGCCCAUUUUCCUGCAUUGUUUCCUGCCAAGAUUUCCACAUCCAACAUAUUCAUAAAUAAACCACGAC
rnacentral:lncRNA from 1 species